UAAGCCAUGCAUGUCUAAGUAUAAGCAAUUAUACCGCGAAACUGCGAAUGGCUCAUUAUAUAAGUUAUCGUUUAUUUGAUAAUACUUUACUACUUGGAUAACCGUGGUAAUUCUAGAGCUAAUACAUGCUAAAAAUCCCGACUUCGGAAGGGUUGUAUUUAUUAGAUUAAAAACCAAUGCCCCUCGGGGCUCUCUGGUGAAUCAUGAUAACUAGUCGAAUCGACAGGCCUUGAGCCGGCGAUGGCUCAUUCAAAUUUCUUCCCUAUCAACUUUCGAUGUUUGGGUAUUGGCCAAACAUGGUGGCAACGGGUAACGGAGGGUUAGGGCUCGACCCCGGAGAAGGAGCCUGAGAAACGGCUACUACAUCCAAGGAAGGCAGCAGGCGCGCAAAUUACCCAAUCCCGACACGGGGAGGUAGUGACAAUAAAUACUGAUACAGGGCUCUUUCGGGUCUUGUAAUCGGAAUGAGUACAAUUUAAAUCCCUUAACGAGGAACAAUUGGAGGGCAAGUCUGGUGCCAGCAGCCGCGGUAAUUCCAGCUCCAAUAGCGUAUAUUAAAGUUGUUGUGGUUAAAAAGCUCGUAGUUGAACCUUGGNCCUGGCUGGCCGGUCCGCCUCACCGCGUGCACUGGUCCGGCCGGGCCUUUCCCUCUGCGGAACCCCAUGCCCUUCACUGGGUGUGGCGGGGAAACAGGACUUUUACUUUGAAAAAAUUAGAGUGCUCAAAGCAGGCCUAUGCUCGAAUACAUUAGCAUGGAAUAAUAGAAUAGGACGUGUGGUUCUAUUUUGUUGGUUUCUAGGACCGCCGUAAUGAUUAAUAGGGACAGUCGGGGGCAUCAGUAUUCAAUUGUCAGAGGUGAAAUUCUUGGAUUUAUUGAAGACUAACUACUGCGAAAGCAUUUGCCAAGGAUGUUUUCAUUAAUCAGGAACGAAAGUUAGGGGAUCGAAGACGAUCAGAUACCGNCGUAGUCUUAACNAUAAACUAUGCCGACUAGGG
rnacentral:rRNA from 1 species